UGUCCAGUAGCACCUUAUAGACCAACUAAGUUUGUUCUGGUAUAAAGCUUUCGUAUGUAUGCACACUUCUUCAGAUAGCUUAUACCAGAACAAACUUAGUUGGUCUAUAAGGUGCUACUGGACA